rnacentral:lncRNA from 10 species
AAAAGUGAUAGUUUUUAAAAUGAUUAAUGGCCACGUAGAAUCCGAAGCCACAUUGGUGAACGUUUCCUUCUCUCCUACACUAAUAUUCAUUUGUCUAUCUUGCCCUUUGAAUGGGCCUUUUACCCAGGCCUAACUUUGUAACUUCAUGUGUUCACCAUUUGGAAAAUAUCGGUUUACUGAGACGUGCAGAAAUUCCAAAUGCAGACGUCUCCGAGAGACUGAAUAUACGAAGGGACGCUGGGUAGACCACAGAAAAGCCACAACUCUGACCCACACCUGCAUCAGCCUGCCCAGGAAAACUGACCCUAACCUAAUAUCUGCAAACGCCAGCCCCAGAGGCCAGCCUGCUGUCCAGGAGUCAGGACUGCAGGAGCACCAACCAGAGAAAGCUGAAUACACUCCCUGGCCAGUUCCAUAGGAUGUUCCGAUUCCAGCUACUCGCCUCCAGUGUCCCCAGACAGCAGCCUCCGGCAGGGCUCACCUGGGACCUUCCGUUUUCUCAUCAUAAAUCCCCAGACCCCUGCCUUUGAGUCUCUGCUGGACACACACCCUGGAGCCCUGCCUUUGAGCCUCUGCUGGACACACACCCCGGACCCCUGCCGUUGAGCCUGUGCUGAACACUCGCAGUGGUGACCGACGCCCCCACCACAGCAAGCCCCGAAUACACAGCCUCUGUGUGUUCCCACUGAGUUGGUCUUUGUUUAUUUUCACACUUAAAUUACACACUAUAAAAAAACCACAGUUGUUAAUAUUGCCACCCAUCUCACCAAAAAAGCCUCUAUAUAUUGUAAAACUGUCAAGCUCAAG